rnacentral:rRNA from 1 species
AUUGAACGCCGGCGGCAGGCUUAACACAUGCAAGUCGAGCGGGGUGAUGGUGCUUGCACUAUCACUUAGCGGCGGACGGGUGAGUAAUGCUUAGGAAUCUGCCUAUUAGUGGGGGACAACAUCUCGAAAGGGAUGCCAAUACCGCAUACGUCCUACGGGAGAAGGCAGGGGAUCACUUGUGACCUUGCGCUAAUAGAUGAGCCUAAGUCGGAUUAGCUAGUUGGUGGAGUAAAGGCCUACCAAGGCGACGAUCUGUAGCGGGUCUGAGAGGAUGAUCCGCCACACUGGGACUGAGACACGGCCCAGACUCCUACGGGAGGCAGCAGUGGGGAAUAUUGGACAAUGGGGGGAACCCUGAUCCAGCCAUGCCGCGUGUGUGAAGAAGGCCUUAUGGUUGUAAAGCACUUUAAGCGAGGAGGAGGCUCUUUUGGUUAAUACCCAAGAUGAGUGGACGUUACUCGCAGAAUAAGCACCGGCUAACUCUGUGCCAGCAGCCGCCGUAA